UCCGCAAUGGGCGCAAGCCUGACGGAGCAACGCCGCGUGAGCGAGGAAGGCCUUCGGGUUGUAAAGCUCAGUCAAGGGGGAAGAGCGGCAAGGAGAGGGAAUGCUCUUUGCGAGACGGUACCCCGAGAGGAAGCCCCGGCAAACUACGUGCCAGCAGCCGCGGUAAUACGUAGGGGGCAAGCGUUGUCCGGAAUCACUGGGCGUAAAGGGUGCGUAGGCGGUUCUGCAAGUCUGGGGUGAAAGGCCAGGGCUCAACCUUGGGAAUGCCUUGGAAACUGUAGGACUUGAGUACUGGAGAGGCAAGGGGAAUUCCACGUGUAGCGGUGAAAUGCGUAGAGAUGUGGAGGAAUACCAGUGGCGAAGGC
rnacentral:rRNA from 1 species